GCCUGGUUAGCUCAGGUCGGUAGAGCGUGAGACUCUUUAUCUCAGGGUCGUGGGUUCGAGCCCCACAUUGGGUG